GCCGGGGUGUCGGAGCGGAAACGAGUUCGCCUGCAGAGCGAAUUUGCGUGGGUUCAAAUCCCACCCCCGGCU
rnacentral:tRNA from 1 species